GGGGAAGUGGUUAUGAAACCUCCAGAGGGUUACCCCCUCCGCCCAGUUAUGUUAUGCAAUCCAGAAAGGGCUACAUAAGGGCCAAAGAGUCUUCGUCGCAGUCCCGCUAUUCCCUGCCUCAUCCAUCUACUGGCGGGGCUACUUAUACCCAUGGAAACCUGCAAAGAGUUGACGUGACUGCAAAGACAACAGAUCCCAUCGUGUCAAGAAUCCAUAAAGGAGGCCAAUCUGAUAAUUGACAGCAAGUCCUUUCUUUGUAUUGAGAGUGCUGUUUUCAGAAGUGAGAAAUUGUGGACCUACAUUCUGCUGUUUAAGAUUUGACCCAAUCACCAUGUUUCUUGUUUCCUAUCUCAGUGUACGGUUAAGAGGUCUAUGGUCUAGAUUUUCAAUCACAAAAGGCUUGUAUACCAUGUAACUAAACAUUUUAACUGUGAUUCAUUACUUUGACACCAUUCUUCUGCAUAAUCUUAAUCUGUCCAAAUACUUUUGGACAGCCCAAGGGGGUUGAGAAAUGUAACGGGUUGUGGAGUCGUUUAGUCUUGUAUAACAGGAAAAACUCCUCAAAUUAAAGAUUAUGGUUUA